GACCGGUUCUCGUUAGAUCACCGAAGUCAAGCAUCAUUGGACGCGGUCAGUACUUGGGUGGGUGACCACCUGGGAACACCGCGUGCCGUU